rnacentral:rRNA from 1 species
AGAACGAACGCUGGCGGCAUGCCUAAUACAUGCAAGUCGAACGAACUCUUCGGAGUUAGUGGCGCACGGGUGCGUAACGCGUGGGAAUCUGCCCCUUGGUUCGGAAUAACAGUUGGAAACGACUGCUAAUACCGGAUGAUGACGAAAGUCCAAAGAUUUAUCGCCAAGGGAUGAGCCCGCGUAGGAUUAGCUAGUUGGUGAGGUAAAGGCUCACCAAGGCAACGAUCCUUAGCUGGUCUGAGAGGAUGAUCAGCCACACUGGGACUGAGACACGGCCCAGACUCCUACGGGAGCAGCAGUAGGGAAUAUGGACAAUGGGCGAAAGCCUGAUCCAGCAAUGCCGCGUGAGUGAUGAAGGCCUUAGGGUGUAAAGCUCUUUACCCGAGAUGAUAAUGACAGUAUCGGAAGAAUAAGCCCCGACUAACUCCGUGCCAGCCAGCCGUAC